rnacentral:lncRNA from 1 species
GAGCAUGUUUGAUACAUAUGGGCAGGUAUGAGCAUCCCACAAUUCCAUUUCCCACAGGGCCACACACUUGAUAUAGGGUGGAAAAGGUCUUAGCCAGAGAAAAUUCUAAAGGAAGUUAAGAAGGGUGUUGAGCAAGAAUCAGAGAGUUGACUUGAAUUGUUUGAAAUCCAAAUUUCAGAACCUAAAAAUAGCAGGAGGGUGCAUGGGCUGCUCAAAACUCGUAGGACAGCCAAAAAAAAAAAAACAAAAGAGAAGCCAAAGAUGAAAGGAAAAGAGUGCCAAAAGUUAUGCAGGAUGGGGUGCAAGGCUAUGUGUCUCCGUGCUCUUCUAUUGUUGUUUGUGAGUGUGAUUGUAGGCUUAUGCUUGUAUGGGUUUCCACACCCAUUUGGUAAGUGCAUGCUAGCAUUGAACAAUGUUUAACUACCAUUGUAAUUCACAUUGUUUUUCUCACAUAUUGGUGCCUCAUACUAAUAUACUUUUAAAUGUAAAUGUGCAGUACAACUACGAGGCAACAUGGCAAGAAGAAUUCACAAUGGUUUCAUCACCUUGGUGAUCAAAUCUCUCCAUUUCUUCAUUGGCAAGUGCAUGCAGUUCAGAUUCUCAUCACCACUGCAUUCUGCGUCCUCUGCCACGUCUAGGCUGCUCUUUUGGGUGGGAUUUACUCGAUCAAUCAGUUCUAUGGACUCCCCAAUUUCGUAAUCCAGCUAAACAAAAAUUUUGACAGCCCCAAUAUGUGGCUUCCACAUUGCCUAACCUGUUCUGGUUAGCAUUUACCCAAUCAAUCUCUCCUAUAUAAUAAUAUCUGUGGAAUUAAGCUCACCUACCUUUAAAAGCCAGGCAGUUGUGACAACCAACCUGCCCACGUGAUUUGACUUGAGUCACCAAAAAAACUCAGCACUUGAUCUCAGUAUGAAUCCUAUGUUGACAUACUACAUCCGUUGUUGGUAGCAGAGUUGAUUCCCAGUAUUUGGAACUCAAGCAUGGAUAUUGCUGUUGUGGGUAACAGAGUCAAUUCCCAGUAUUUGGAACUCAAGCAUGGAUAUUGCUGUUGUUGGUAACAAAGUCAAUUCCCAGUAUUUGGAACUCAAGCAUGGAUAUUCUUUAUAUUGUUAAUCAAGUGGUCGAUAAGCUGAACAUUUUGAUUGUCCUGAUCUAUCAGUAAAAAUUGAACUCACAUUUUCAUGUUGCUUUCUGUCUGAUUAUACAUAUGUGUAUGCAUGACAAAUAGUGUUGUGUUCUUGAACACAAACAGAGCCUCAACAAUAUGAUAAUUAACAAUAAUAAGAUAUUGGUGGAGAGCUAGAAUUUCACUAAUUUAACCAAUGCACAAUGGGCUCUGAAUCCCCAAAGUUUCACCUACAUACUUUAAUUUAACCAGGUUCUUAAAUAAAUUUAUCAGUAAUUAUACUGAACAGAAACAUGAACAUGGAAGGAGAGAACAGGGCAAAAUUAGAAUGAAGCAAAAUAAUAUACAUAUAGAAAAUACAAAUUGCUCAUCAUCAUUGUUGUUCAACUUUCUCUUUUUGUUUGUCAUGUCUUUCCAUCCUACAUCACAAAAUAAUAUACCAUUUUUGUUUUUGCUUGCUUUUUCUCGUUUAUUUUCUUCUUACAUGCUUAAAAAUCCAACAACUUGACUCUGCAAAUUAUCCAAACAGAUUGAAGAUUCUCUAACACUUCAAGUCUUGGAAGCAAUACUUUGCAAUGAACCAUUCCAACUCAUUUAGAUUGUAGCCAUCAUGUCUAUAUUUCAAAGGCUUAGGGAGUAAAUGUAUGAAUAUUAUGGUUACUGUAAGUUUGCUUCUUUUUUCUUAUUUUUGUUGUUAUUCAGUUGUUGACAACCAUAAACUAAGGAGAUAAAGGCAUUGAACAAUGGAAUACUAAUAUGUCAAGCAAUUAUAAACCAGUCAAGUAUAUGGAGGUGCUUUCUACUUGAGGUGGGUUGCUUCCUCUAAUAUUUGUUUUAAAAUAGUUAAUUUAUAUUGCUUUUAUAUAUUAGGACUUGGGAGCAAACUGAACUUGGAUUUUGAGUAUAAAAUUCAAAUCCACCAUUUGGAUUGAUUAGAUGAUGAAUCAUGUUAGAAAUUUAGAUUGGCCAAUGUGCAUCUUUGAAACAAGAAAUAUACAAACAUGAAAUAAGGAUUGGAAGAGUCCUUGUUGAUUGCUAAGAUUGCAGAGCAAGCUGAUACCAAGGACCUAGAGAAGAAACGAGGGAGCAAUCCUGAGAUGAACUUGAAAUUUAGAUUAUUAGCACUUUGAAAGAGUAUAAAGUAGUUUCCUUCUAGAUCUUUAUUAUGAAGGUUCAGGCCCUUAGAGGGGAGGUUUUCCAGCAGCACAAAAGGGGAGUUUUUCUCUGUAACAAACAUAUUUAGGAGGUCUAAGGAACACCGAAGUACCAGCACUUUUCAUCAUUGCAGAGAUAAGAGGAAAGUAAUGGGGGUGAUCUAUUAGGAUUCCCUAUGUACAAGAUGAUAAUUCAAAACUGCCCGAUUGCAUCAGUUCUGCCAUCAACUUUAACCAACUACAUGUCAAGUUACAGCAUAAAUAUAAUUGUGUAAGAAACAUGGGUACGUUUAAGGGCUAGAAAAAAAAAAAGGUUUAGAUUAGCACUCAUUCUCUACAUGCCAAAACUGUUCUCUAUUUCCAUGGUAUAGGGCAAACAAAUAAAACUGGCCAAAGACAAUGAAUGAGGAUAAUAUUAACAUUUUUGCUCUAGGCUAAUGCUAAUACUAGGACCUUUUUGCCCUUCCUCGGGUCCAGAGGUCACUUCCCCACCCUUCUCUCCCAUGCCCAUCACUUGGUUCCUUCUAUGCUCUCACCUAGGGGCUUGCCCUCUUCCCUCAAGCCCCAUUUUUUCGAGUGUAGUCUUUGAAGGCUCAAUAUAGUACUCCUUACCCUCAAUAAGGCUCUUUCACACUUCCCAGGACCCUCUUUCCUUAGCCUCAAGGGGAGUUAAUAGCUUAAUUUAAGUAUGUUCAACAAAAUAAUUUAGUAAUACUACUUAAAGUCAAUAUUUUUUCUGAAUUCAAAAUAAUGUUUUGCUUUUAUUUCAAAAAGACUUUUUAUUAACCUAUAUUACAACCAUUAGUUCCUUUUUUGAAUAUUUCUCUCUUAUAACCUCAUUGCUUAACAUUAAUAAAGGUAAAUAUGUAAAAUUUAACAACUUAUCCUUUGUUCUACUAAAGCCAAUUUGCUCCCCUUGGAGUCCAAUAUACUAGAAGAGGGGGACUCGAGGCAUAGCCCUAAAGGAGGGGUAGGGAGGGGCUCUGAGGAAGAAAGAGGUGAAGAGAAGGCUUGAAGAGAGUGACAAAGGCAAGGCCUCUACCAAGUGUCAAAUACAGAGCUUACCUCCAAGGCAGUGGAAGUGUGGGGGCUGCAGGUACAAAAAGCAGCCCUCAACAGUACUAGAGGUGUUAGUUUGAAAUAAGGAGAAGAGACAUUGAAUAAUAGAACACUUGGUAUAGCGGGUUUUCUUCACUUGAGCUAAGUUGAUUCCUUUAAUAUUUGUUACUCAUAAAAAAGUCAACUCAGAUUGCUUUUUAUUUAUUAGAACUAGGAAAGAGCUUGAUAUGGAUUUUUGAGUUUAAAUUCAAACCAAUCAUUUGGAUGGAUUUGAUGAUGAACCAUGUUAGAUAUUUAGAUUUGCUGAAAACGCACAUUUGAAACAAUAAAUGUAUGAAUAUGGAGUAAGGAUAAGAGUAGUGUGAUUAGGCCUAUGAUGGGGCCAAGAUUGUUGUAACUGAGGUGAAACCAAAGAUACCAGAUCCACUUCAACAAUAGCUUGAAGAAAAGAUAAUAAAGAAAAGAGGAGAGAGUAUCAAAUCUCUCCACAAAACCACCAAAACUACAUGUGAAAGGGAUGUAAAAACAUAAUUCACUUAACAACUAAACAGACAGUCAACAUAACUUAGAAAAAAUUGAAUGGAUGGUAACUAGGCACACAUGUAACCAACCGAAGUUAUAAGGCCAGACCAGAAAGUAAUGAACAAUGCCAGAUUGUCCGGGUUAUCUACUCAAUCCAGUAAGCAUUCCCAAUAUCAGUCCUAUAGUCAAGAAUGCAUCCCACAAAUUUUCAACUAAUGCAUAUUUCAAUGUUAAGUUUGCUUCUCCAUGUUACAUAUGAGCUCAAUGAGAAAUAUGUAUAUAUGACAACUGAAAAAUAUAAUGUACAGAAGAAAUAACAAGGUGAGGAAAUUACCAGAUUUCUUGGUUGCCUGGGAAACAGCUCCUCAAUAAGGCAUUCUGGAGGGUCUCCACAUCCAGAAACCUCUCCAUAAACCUCUAAACCUGACAAACCACUUCCUGAUUGCUUAAAAUACUCUUGCAA